GCGCGAGUGGCGGAAUUGGUAGACGCGCACGGUUCAGGUCCGUGUGUCUGCGAAGACAUGGGGGUUCAAGUCCCCCCUCGCGCA
rnacentral:tRNA from 2 species